rnacentral:lncRNA from 1 species
UACAUUAUGAUUGAGAGAAUGAAAAAAAAAGUAAAUUAUAUGAUUGAAUUAAUUUUACUUGACGGAAAUAAGUAAACCUUGUAUAAAUAUACAAUUAUUAAUUAAAUACAUUUGAAUUAUAUGUAUUAAACGAACCGCCAACUUUUCAUGACACUUACAUUGUUCGAGAACUCGUGAAUGGAAAGAAAAAACAGUAUACACCAAUAAAUGAUAGUGUUGGUGGUUUUGGUCAAAGAAAUUGAGUGCAUUAAUCCGGAUAUAAGAAAAAAUAGCCAUAAAGACACUCUUCCCCGAGGCUGUCCCUAAUGCCGGAUACCAGUGUUUAAAACCAUACAUGGUACGCUUAGACGGACUGCAGUUCGAGGUUAAGACUCCAUGGUAUCAUCACUUAUUAUUUAAGAAAUAUGUCUGCAAAUGGUGUAUGAGAUAUGGAACAAAAUAUGACAAAGGUGUUCUUAUUUGUGAGAAGAAAAAGAACGCACGAAAUUUGCACGGAAUUACUUAAGGUAUCACAAAUCCUACGAGAAGAGGAGACACAAUUUAACUGGCCUGGAACCUUCUUUUAAAUUAAUUUACAAAAUUGAGAAAAAUGUUUUUCCUUUAAAUGGAAACGUAUCUGUAUAGUUAUGUUCUAAAUAUAAAUAACAUGUCACUGACAUGGACCGACUGUCAUUACAGUAUUAAAAAACAUACAAAUUUUGACCAAAAUUAAAAGUACGUGUAGUCAGUUGACGAACAUGUUUGCUAUCAGCCUCAGUGAAGUUACAAUGUGCUCACAUUUGAAUCUCCUGCAACAAGAAUACUCCAUUCCAUUCCGAUUUUGUUUUCAUCGAACCAGAAAAUCUGAAACGCACCAUGGCUUGGAAUUCCAUGAUAACGGCAGAAAAUAUGCCAACAGGCAACACGACGCAUAGUUCACGGGGAAGGACGUGUUACACGGGACUCGAUUGUGGAGGAUAUCAUGUUACAGAGUUACGAUGCUGCUACAGUGUUCCCGGAUAACGUCACAGCUGGCGGUGGUUUGUUCACAAAAGAAAUGUUGCAACUGAAUAGGCCAUAUUUCCUGGUCAAUGUAUUUUGUACAAAUUGCCGAAUCAUCAUGGUACUGGAACAUUUUUGUUGGGAUAAGUUACUCGUCAAGUAGCUUUAGGGACAAGAAAAUGUAACAAGGUAAUCGCAGGUAAAACCCAGGUGUAGCUAGACAUGUAACGACUAUAAAUUUGCAUUUUCUAACUUGUAGCGUAGUACAUGUAGAUCUCUCCUAUCUCUUGUUUCUCCAUAGUUCUCACUAGUUCGUUCUUUGAAGUUCUCAUUGUAAUUUGUAUGUUUCUUUGGAUUAUGCAGCAUUGUCCGGCAAUAGCAUAUUCAAAAAUCAGAUUCUUCAUUUUCAUAUAUACUAGUACUAGUUUUCAAAAAUAUACAUAGUGAGAACUUUUGUGUGUAGAAUCUUUCCUCUAUCAAAGCUUUUAUUAAAAACGAAAAAUAUUUUAUGUUAGCAUUUGGUGAUUGACACGCACCUGUAUAUGUAUAUUUUUUAGCUUUUACCAUGCUGUUGGCACAUUUAUGUUCACUUUACAACAAGUGUAGACCCAGAUCAACCAGCAUACUAGUUUAUAGUGCUGGCUUAUCAGGGUCUGCACUGUUUGCUGCCCAUUCGUGUUUUAGCUUCUAGCAUCCAAGCACGAUGGACUGACCUCGUUGCAAAGAUCAAAUAUUAUUCAGCAUGGUUAAUUUAAUCUUUUUCAGUUUUAUAAACAUACACUGAUAUUACAGCAUUUAACAUGAAGUAAAAUUUACUGUCUGGAACUACUAUAAUUUUAUAUACAUAUAUUGCAGAAAUUUGCUUUAGUACUCGGCUAUGGCUUGAGUUGUUCAUAUAAUAUGUAUUUUUAGUUCGGGAAGUAGAUUCUCUUUUUUUAGUUUUGCAUAUAGUCAUGCAGGUGCCAGUAAGUUUACAUGUUAGUAAAUAUUCUUGUUUUCAUGUUAAAUCCCAUGUGAUAUCUGUUGCCAAGUCAUCUUACAGAAGGGCAAUACUCUCAGAAAAAGACAUGACAAAACAGAAAAUGAGGUAAAUGCAUGCAAAACCUGUAUUGUAAUUUCUGUCAGAAAUGUUUUUGAAAAAUCCGAUGAAUGUCAGUAUUAAGGUCAAGCAGGAAAUGCCAUGCGCAAACUAUGACAAAGCGCACAGCCGACACUCAACCAUGAGUUAAAAAAGCAUGUCUUUUCUACUUCAAUGAGAAGUGAAUAUAAUUUUGAUCGGUGACAUGUUGAAAAUAGUAAAUAAAUAAAGUAGUUAGUGAAACCAUUAAAUGAAAAUGUAUGAUCCUGAAGGAGCAAUAGAUGAAGUACUUGGCGACUUCACAGCUGUCACAGAGAGCUGCUCAUUAUUAUUAGUGGAAAAUGCAACACUUCAAAUAUUUUGUCUGGCAGUUUAAACCAUAAAAGCAUUGAAAUUUAUCGACCAGUAUGGACCCGUAUCAGCCAGCAUACAAACUCGCUGUCUGAUCAGCCGGUUUGGUUGUGUCAGCUGAUCUGGAUUUCUUGAGGGCUUCAUUUACAUGCGCCCAGUGCUGUAAAUAUUAAAUGUAUAUUAAUACAUGUGAAUUUCAAUUUAUUUUAUACUUUCUUUGAUGAUUUUACUGAUCAAGAUGAUACGAAUGCACUUGAUGAUAUUACGAUGUCAUGCACCAAUUCUGCUCAUCAACAUGAUACAGGUAUAAUAAUGAGCAGUUUAGAAUUAUUUACAAAAAUGUAACAAAUGCAGAUUUACCUAAAUAAAAGUUCCAGUAAUUUAGAAACAGAAUUAUAAACCUGAGAAAUUGGCCAGGGACCAUGGUACCGUGUGAAUUGCAGACUCAGGUUUGCCUGUAAACAACAACUGAUUUUAUACUCUUUGCCAGAACCAGAUGGAUAAGAAGAUGUGCAUACAUUUCCACCACCCGUCUAUGAACAGGCUCAAUCAAACCGAGCCUGCAACAUUUUCGUUUAUGUCGUAUUGGGCGACCUGUGGUUUUCCACUUUUUUUUUAAUUUCAAGUUGUAUGAUAUAAACAUGAAAAUACCACUGAUUAGGUAAUAUACUGCCCCCUGAACUAAAAAAGUACUGUUUGAAUAGAAGUUAUUUGCACAAUGGCUCGAAUGGUAGGUUGUUGCAAUGGCAGAUUGGUCUAAGGCAUUUUUGUUUUGCACUGCUAGCCGUCCUUACUAAUUGGUUGGGUACAAAUCCAAUUUAGAAUCUGUAAUUCCUAGCAAAGACCAUUGGCAAUUCAGUUUAUAAGGUUUUUACACUGCCAGCGAAAUAAAAGAAAUAUUUGUCCGUACUGCCUGACUUUAAAAAUUUACUUGUCCAUAUGAUUUAGUUUUAGUUAAACAUUGACACAGUGCAGUGUUUCUUUAGCAGUUUGUACUUUGUAUUUACAAUUUGUCAGACAUUGUAGCCCCUGAUGGAGCACAUGUUCAAGACCACGCCUACGCAAGAUCAGACGAGAAACAAGGGGGUCCGGUCGAUGCUAUGCUAUCACAGUAAAUCAGGUGUAUGGACAAUGAUUGGAAACUUAAGUGGUAUAAACUCAAAAUGUUGCAGAAAAUGUAUUUACCACAGUGUCACAAACUGACAUACGGGCCUCAAUGCAUCUGUAGU